UCAAUAUUUUCAAAAACAGAAAUCAAUAAAUGAAAUUUAAUUCAACGAGUCCCCGUUUUCACUCUCAUAGUCUCAUCCUUAUCACAGUUAAUCGUUGUUGACCGUUAGUUUAUAUUUUAAAAAGGAUACUUCCUUGUCAGCGACAACUAAAUAAAAUAAUAAUAAUUGUUUUUUUUCAAAUCAACCAAACUAAGAAUUUUAUAGUGAAUUAUAUUAUAGCUACAACAGUAGUAAAAAGUAUAAGUACCUACAUGUACAUUGCACACAGGCGUAUUUUAAAUAUUUCUCGUUUUUCC